AGCAAAAGAAAAGAGCAGGAACUGCCUA
rnacentral:piRNA from 1 species